rnacentral:lncRNA from 11 species
CCGAGUAUCCGUGGGAUCGUUUUUCAGCCUUUAUGAAAAUAUAUCUUGCCACUGGAUGCACCUGCUUCUAAGUGGAGGCGUAGAGGCACUUAACGAUUCUUUUAUCCCUGUGAAAAGAUUUUUAAAGUUAGAAAAUGCCUUUUUUGAUGGAAAAUAUAUCCUUUCCAUGGUUGGAAAAUAUCCAAUAAGUUUUUUUAAUAAAUUUAUUUAACAAUCAUUAUUGAUUGUUGUGUAUAUAAAUAAUUACAAAAUAUAAAAAUAACAGAAAAUGGAAUGAAAAAUUAAAAAUUUUCAAUAAUCUAACAAAUUUAUUUUAAUAUUCUAAAUGUAUAUCAAAUCAAACAAAUUUCUUAUUUGAAAAUCGUACGCACUGCUUGGUUUCUAGAAAAUUCAGACCAACGGGAAAUAAAAAUUUCCCCAUGAAAAAUUUUUCCUCAUGUUGGUCAUAGUUUCCCUUCUAUUCCUACUAUUCUUUUUCCCCAAUUUUAGGGUAUAAAAGGACUGUAAGAGCCCUCUCAGAAGGGUCAGUUGAACGACAAGUUUUGUACGAUAUCAGGUAUUAAAGUUCCUUCAAUUACGUUUCAAGUAAUUACAUAUAGUAAGUAUAUUAUGUUAUUUCACAUUAUUUUUUGGUUCCCGUUUUUCUUUUUUGUGUGAAAAGAAUUAAAUAAUUCAUCUAGUGACAAUUUAUUUGUAGAUAUCGCGAUCACUACACUGGACAAUUUGUAUAUUAAUUGUACGACUUAUAUAUAGAAUAUAUCUAUAUAUAAUGAAAUCUUUAUAUCUGUCAUUCUUGAACAAACAAACAAUGAAUAUAUCAAUUUUUUUAAUAAGAAUUAAUGAAAAAAAAGGAAUCGAUUUUCAAUUUCAAAUCAGG